GCACCAAGCUGUUUCCGAUUUUUUUGCUUCAUGUCGGGUCUAUUAAUCCUUUUAUUUCAUCUGGGCUUUUAUUUCAUUUGUAGAUUAAGCCCAAACCUCAAGUCCAAACUUUAGCACACUUGUUAGAAACUCACAUGAGAUUAGGUUUCCCCUUCCGUCUUCGUCUUGAGCUGCGACAUCCACGAUGAAAUCCCACAAAAGCUUUAAGUGACGUUCCGGCCUAUUCAUUGAGUUCCGAAGCGAGGAAGAUGUGUUGACUAUGAUGUGGAUGAAAAGAUCGUGUAUGAUACUUUCAGCACAAUUGGUGUCAUUGCUUAUAAUCCUAAGAUAAUUUGAAGUUUACAUAUAUCCGUUCUUGGCUCUAAGUCGUCCCCGGGGUCUCUGAAGCCGUUACACUUGCCCAGUGGAUCUCCCAAAGCUACACUCACCACUUAGGCUCGGACUCAGUAAACGAUUGACUCUCUUGGAAGCAAGACUCUGUUGAAAUUUACAUGGAAUCACCAAGAUGCCAUUUUGUGUUGCUCUUUAAAGGUUAUGUUUGUAGCCUCAACCAGUGGUUAUAUUCGCGAACCAAGCUGGUUUAAACAUGCUAGAGACAAUGCUUGUAUCCUUACAAGACAUUGCACUGGAAAAGAUCUUUGAUGAAUCUGGUCGAAGGGCUCUCUGCUCUGACUUCGCCAAGCUAAUGCAACAGGGAUUUGCGUGCUUGCCUUCAGGAAUCUGUUUGUCUACAAUGGGGAGACAUGUCACUUAUGAACAAGUUGUUUCUUGGAAAGUGUUUGCUGCAUCCAAAACGACAACAAUAAUAAUUGGGCAAAUCUCCAAAAUAGCACAUUUCUAAGUUUAUAUCACAAAAAUAGCACUCCAAAACUAAAAUGACCAAAAUAGCACCUUUCAAAGUUUAUACUUUGAAAAUUUUAAUUUUUUUAUUUUUCAAAAUUUGAAAUCUUAUCUCCAAAACCUCAUUUCUCAACUCUAAACCCUAAACCUUACCUUUAAACCCUAAACCCUAAACUCUAAACCCUAAACCCUAAACUCUAAACCCUAAACUCUAAACUCUAAACCCUAAACCCUAAAUCCUAAACCUCACCCUUUAACUCUAAACCCUAAGUUUGUGACUUUUGAUAAAACAUUAAGUGCUAUUUUUGUGACUUUUGACCUUGAGUGUUAGUUUGGAAACAAAAACUUGAUUUAGUGCUAUUUUGUCUUUUUUCUCAUAAUAAUUUGCAUUGUCUUGCUUUCUCCUUUGUAAACUGGUCGUUUGUGUAGUCUCGUCUCUUAUGAGUGUAUUAGUAAAAGCUAAUCAAAUUUACAUUACAGACAACACUUUUUUUGUUGUUGUUAUUGUUGUUGUUGUGUAAGUGUCUGUCUCUGUUUUGAUCAAAUUUGCAUUAUAUUCUCAUUUUUA